UCAGUGGAUUAGGAAGAUCAACUUAAACAGGCAUGACAGAGCUGAUCCUUGUAGGUUCAAUGCCAAUCACCACUAGACAGAAUGAGUGCAUCUAUCAGGAGAUUGAAGAUCAGGAGCUGAGAACUGCAGUAACGUCCACACUCACCAC